UACGUAGGUGGCAAGCGUUGUCCGGAUUUACUGGGCGUAAAGAGCGCGCAGGCGGUCGUUCAAGUCGCGUGUGAAAGCCCCCGGCUCAACUGGGGAGGGUCACGCGAUACUGAUCGACUCGAAGGCAGGAGAGGGUAGUGGAAUUCCCGGUGUAGUGGUGAAAUGCGUAGAUAUCGGAAGGAACAUCAGUGGCGAAGGCGACUUCCUGGACCAAUACUGACGCUCAGGUGCGAAAGCGUGGGGAGCAAACAGG
rnacentral:rRNA from 1 species